rnacentral:snRNA from 1 species
CUCUGAUUUCUUAUCAGAUCAUAUAAAUCUUUCUCAUUUUACUAAAGAUUUCCGUGGAGUAGUAAGACACAUGAG